GCCAAUUCUAUGAAUACAAUUAAGUUCAAACACUAUGCAUAACAUCAAAAUCAUCAAAUGACUUACAUAUGCUUUUGAAUCAGUUCUCACCUUCACCUCGCACAAAUACAAGUGUGCAUGAACAAACAUAUAAUAUUAGGGAUUUAGACAUAUUUCCCUUUUGGAAAGAAAUUUAAUAUGCUAUACUUUUUCUUAAAAACCCUAUCUAGAACUUUGGAUUCUAAUCUUAUAAAACAUUAUAUUUCUAAAAACCCACAAAAUUCCAGCUAUUCCAUGCAGUGUUCAAUGUGAUUUGUUCCCCCAUGAAACCAUCGACUGUGUCCAAGUAUUCUUUGUGGUAGACCCACAUCAUAUAAUUCCAAGAGUUAAGUGUGUGAUUCAAGAAAUGGAUAUUUGGUUUCUUGGAGAUGGAGUUUUGCUGCAAAUUAUAUGAGAGAGAUUAUUGAUAGAGGGAGACAAGAGGCAUGCAGUUGAAGAAGGAAAUAAGUGAAUAAUAACCUAAUUUGACUCUUCAUUCAUUUCCAAU
rnacentral:lncRNA from 1 species